AUGAACGCUGGCGGCGUGCCUAAUACAUGCAAGUCGAGCGAACAGACGAGGAGCUUGCUCCUCUGACGUUAGCGGCGGACGGGUGAGUAACACGUGGAUAACCUACCUAUAAGACUGGGAUAACUUCGGGAAACCGGAGCUAAUACCGGAUAAUAUAUUGAACCGCAUGGUUCAAUAGUGAAAGACGGUUUUGCUGUCACUUAUAGAUGGAUCCGCGCCGCAUUAGCUAGUUGGUAAGGUAACGGCUUACCAAGGCAACGAUGCGUAGCCGACCUGAGAGGGUGAUCGGCCACACUGGAACUGAGACACGGUCCAGACUCCUACGGGAGGCAGCAGUAGGGAAUCUUCCGCAAUGGGCGAAAGCUUGACGGAGCAACGCCGCGUGAGUGAUGAAGGUCUUCGGAUCGUAAAACUCUGUUAUUAGGGAAGAACAAAUGUGUAAGUAACUAUGCACGUCUUGACGGUACCUAAUCAGAAAGCCACGGCUAGCUACGUG
rnacentral:rRNA from 1 species